rnacentral:rRNA from 1 species
AUGCUCAGUGCACUCCCCACUUUUGCACUAUUUGUUUUGAAGGUGCCAAAGUAGCUCCUAGCCGAGGUGGACAAGACCAGAAGACAUUUUCUAUGGGCUCAAGAGGAAGAGGUCAUUGGCGGGAAAUGCAAAGUAAACUAGCCUGUGGUGUGCUCUCCGACCGACAACGGUGGACUUGGCAUUCCAAACCUACAUCAAUUCAGCCGUGCCCUCAGACUCAGGUGGCUCUGGUUCUCCUGGGUAACACCCAAUAGACCUUGGGUUGGCAUGCAGCUGCCAUGCGAUCAAGGGGACAAGGAUCUGUUCACCGCCUCAACAACGGUGAUGCUGGGAGAUGGGAAGACGACUAGCUUCUGGGACAGCUCCUGGACUGGCGCAAGAACUCUCACAAUGGAGUUCCCAGAGCUCCACAAGCAAUCAAGAAGGAAGAACAGGACCGUCCAUGCUGCACUACUGAAUGACACUUGGAUUGCUGAUCUGGCUCAUGGGAACACGCAACAACUAUGGCCUGAGGUGAUCCGCCUGAACAGAUGGCUCAUCUCCAAGAACCUGAGCCUAAACGACCAGCUGCAAGACACCAUUAGUUAA